rnacentral:rRNA from 1 species
GAAGCCUUUCGGGGUGGAUUAGUGGCGAACGGGUGAGUAAACGAGGGCAAUCUGCCCUGUACUUUGGGAUAAGCCUGGGAAACUGGGUCUAAUACCGGAUAUGACUGGGCCUCGCAUGGGGUUUGGUGGAAAGCUCCGGCGGUACAGGAUGAGCCCGCGGCCUAUCAGCUUGUUGGUGGGGUAAUGGCCUACCAAGGCGACGACGGGUAGCCGGCCUGAGAGGGUGACCGGCCACACUGGGACUGAGACACGGCCCAGACUCCUACGGGAGGCAGCAGUGGGGAAUAUUGCACAAUGGGCGCAAGCCUGAUGCACCGACGCCGCGUGAGAGAUGACGGCCUUCGGGUUGUAAACCUCUUUCGCCAGGGACGAAGCGCAAGUGACGGUACCUGGAU